rnacentral:rRNA from 1 species
UACGUAUGGUGCAAGCGUUAUCCGGAUUUACUGGGUGUAAGGGGAGCGUAGACGGCCUUGCAAGUCUGGUGUGAAAGCCCGGGGCUCAACCCCGGGACUGCAUUGGAAACUGCAUGGCUGGAGUGCAGGAGAGGUAAGCGGAAUUCCUAGUGUAGCGGUGAAAUGCGUAGAUAUUAGGAGGAACACCAGUGGCGAAGGCGGCUUACUGGACUGUAACUGACGUUGAGGCUCGAAAGCGUGGGGAGCAAACAGG